UACGAGGGGGGCGAGCGUUGUUCGGAAUUAUUGGGCGUAAAGGGUGCGUAGGCGGUUUGGUAAGUCUGAUGUGAAAUCUAUGGGCUCAACUCAUAGUCUGCAUCGGAAACUGCCGGGCUUGAGUGUGGGAGAGGUGAGUGGAAUUCCUGGUGUAGCGGUGAAAUGCGUAGAUAUCAGGAGGAACACCGGUGGUGUAGACGGCUUUCUGGACCGUAACUGACGCUGAGACACGAAAGCGUGGGUAGCAAACAGG
rnacentral:rRNA from 1 species